GACGAACGCUGGCGGCGUGCUUAACACAUGCAAGUCGAACGGAAAGGCCCUGCUUUUGUGGGGUGCUCGAUUGGCGAACGGGUGAGUAACACGUGAGUAUCCUGCCCUUGACUUUGUGAUAACUUCAGGAAACUGGGGCUAAUACCGGAUAGGAGCUCCUGCUGCAUGGUGGUGGUUGGAAAGUUUCGGCGGUUGGGGAUGGACUCGCGGCUUAUCAGCUUGUUGGUGGGGUAGUGGCUUACCAAGGCUUUGACGGGUAGCCGGCCUGAGAGGGUGACCGGCCACAUUGGGACUGAGAUACGGCCCAGAAUCCUGCGGGAGGCAGCAGUGGGGAAUAUUGCACAAUGGGCGGAAGCCUGAUGCAGCAACGCCGCGUGCGGGAUGACGGCCUUCGGGUUGUAAACCGCUUUCGCAUGUGACGAAGCGUGAGUGACGGUAAUGGGUAAAGAAGCACCGGCUAACUACGUG
rnacentral:rRNA from 1 species